rnacentral:misc_RNA from 1 species
GCUCGUUCUUGCGUGGGAUUGGCGAGCCCAGAUCCAUGCGUCCCCUCCUCACACGCUCACCACACACCAUAUACACCUCGCCUCACCUGCUAACUGGCGACGCCCCUGCUGACAGACGGUACGGUACCUUGCUCGUCCCCUGCCUAAUGUGUAUCUGUAGAUUUAUAAUACUCCUCUUGUUGUGUCUCUUGCUGUACCACUCGCAAAUGCAAUCG